rnacentral:rRNA from 1 species
GUGGGGAAUUUUGGACAAUGGGCGCAAGCCUGAUCCAGCAAUGCCGCGUGCAGGAAGAAGGCCUUCGGGUUGUAAACUGCUUUUGUACGGAACGAAACGGUCCUGGCUAAUACCCGGGGCUAAUGACGGUACCGUAAGAAUAAGCACCGGCUAACUACGUGCCAGCAGCCGCGGUAAUACGUAGGGUGCGAGCGUUAAUCGGAAUUACAGGGCGUAAAGCGUGCGCAGGCGGUGCUGUAAGACAGGCGUGAACUCCCCGGGCUCAACCUGGGAAUUGCGCUUGUGACUGCAGUGCUGGAGUGCGGCAGAGGGGGAUGGAAUUCCGCGUGUAGCAGUGAAAUGAGUAGAUAUGCGGAGUAACACCGAUGGCGAAGGCAAUCCCCUGGGCCUGCACUGACGCUCAUGCACUAAAGCGUGGGGAGCAAACAGGAUUAGAAACCCUAGUAGUCC